AUACGAAGGGAGCUAGCGUUGUUCGGAAUUACUGGGCGUAAAGCGCACGUAGGCGGCUAAGUAAGUCGGAUGUGAAAGCCCUGGGCUCAACCUGGGAAUUGCAUUCGAUACUGCUUGGCUAGAGUAUGGUAGAGGGUAGUGGAAUUCCUGGUGUAGCGGUGAAAUGCGUAGAUAUUGGGAAGAACACCGGUGGCGAAGGCGGCUACCUGGCCCGGUACUGACGCUGAGGCGCGAAAGCGUGGGGAGCAAACAGGAUUAGAAACCCGAGUAGUCC
rnacentral:rRNA from 1 species